rnacentral:rRNA from 1 species
AAGCGCGCGCAGGCGGCCUUUUAAGUCUGAUGUGAAAGCCCCCGGCUCAACCGGGGAGGGCCAUUGGAAACUGGAAGGCUUGAGUACAGAAGAGAAGAGUGGAAUUCCACGUGUAGCGGUGAAAUGCGUAGAGAUGUGGAGGAACACCAGUGGCGAAGGCGACUCUUUGGUCUGUAACUGACGCUGAGGCGCGAAAGCGUGGGGAGCAAACAGGAUUAGAUACCCUGGUAGUCCACGCCGUAAACGAUGA